UCCUCCAAGUGUCUACAUAACUCUUCUGCCUGCUCUGAGCCAUCUGAAUGUUCUUUCUGAUUUUAACUAUUUUAGACGUGGUCUCCUCCACAAACUUCGGGCCGAACAAUUUUAUGUUGCCCACUUCUUCCCAACAAAUCGGUGAUCUGCAUGGGCGUCCAUAUAACGCUUUAUACGGAGUCAUGCUAAUGCUCGCUUGGUAGCUGUUGUUGUAGGCAAAUUCUAUCA
rnacentral:lncRNA from 1 species